rnacentral:lncRNA from 1 species
GGAUAGGAUCCAUUUCGAAGAGAAGUGGGAAGGGGCCAAUGAUAGGGCUAACGAUCUAGAAUAUGAAGUGAGGUGCAAAAGGAGGAAGAUGAACAGGAUGGGCUAUGCAGUGCGCACGACCAUGGGGAGACUAAUUGAUGGGGUAAAUCACUACCCGACAGAGCAGGGACAGACUCGGCACACCAUAAGCCGAGAUUUGGUGGUGCACAUUACUCAGAGGGAGUACCAGAGCGCUGUGGAGCGCGGGAUGAUGGAUUAAGUCUAGGCGUUAAAAGUAUUAGUUGUAGUUCGUUAUGUGGUGUAUUAUCUGUUGUUGUAAUUUCAGUCUUUUAUGUAGAAUGUGAGAUAGUUGUAAGCCCCAAACUUUUGAGUUAUAUUAGAGGGGUA